UGGGGAAUAUUGGACAAUGGGCGCAAGCCUGAUCCAGCCAUGCCGCGUGUGUGAUGAAGGCCUUAGGGUUGUAAAGCACUUUCGCCGGUGAAGAUAAUGACGGUAACCGGAGAAGAAGCCCCGGCUAACUUCGUGCCAGCAGCCGCGGUAAUACGAAGGGGGCAAGCGUUGCUCGGAAUCACUGGGCGUAAAGCGCACGUAGGCGGGUCGUUAAGUCAGGGGUGAAAUCCUGGAGCUCAACUCCAGAACUGCCUUGGAUACUGGCGACCUAGAGUUCGAGAGAGGUUGGUGGAACUGCGAGUGUAGAGGUGAAAUUCGUAGAUAUUCGCAAGAACACCAGUGGCGAAGGCGGCCAACUGGCUCGAUACUGACGCUGAGGUGCGAAAGCGUGGGGAGCAAACA
rnacentral:rRNA from 1 species